UACGUAGGGGCCGAGCGUUGUCCGGAGUUAUUGGGCGUAAAGCGCGCGCAGGCGGCUUGACGCGCCCGACGUGAAAGCCCCCGGCUUAACCGGGGAGGGUCGUCGGGUACGGUCAGGCUUGAGGGCGGGAGAGGGUGGUGGAAUUCCCGGUGUAGUGGUGAAAUGCGUAGAGAUCGGGAGGAACACCUGUGGCGAAGGCGGCCACCUGGGCCGAACCUGACGCUGAGGCGCGAAGGCGUGGGGAGCGAACGGG
rnacentral:rRNA from 1 species